AUGAUUACCUGGCAGAGGAGAUACCAUUAUCAUAAAGGUAGUUUUCCCAGGGUGAAGCUCAUCCAUUGCACUCUGGAUGUGCUGACCCCUGCGAUUUCCCCAAAUAUGGGAAACUCAACUGCAUAAUUCUAUUACCAUGGGUAACCAUGGGAUAAU